rnacentral:rRNA from 1 species
GACGAACGCUGGCGGCGUGCUUAACACAUGCAAGUCGAACGGAAAGGCCCUGCUUUUGUGGGGUGCUCGAGUGGCGAACGGGUGAGUAACACGUGAGUAACCUGCCCUUGACUUUGGGAUAACUUCAGGAAACUGGGGCUAAUACCGGAUAGGAGCUCCUGCUGCAUGGUGGGGGUUGGAAAGUUUCGGCGGUUGGGGAUGGACUCGCGGCUUAUCAGCUUGUUGGUGGGGUAGUGGCUUACCAAGGCUUUGACGGGUAGCCGGCAUGAGAGGGUGACCGGCCACAUUGGGACUGAGAUACGGCCCAGACUCCUACGGGAGGCAGCAGUGGGGAAUAUUGCACAAUGGGCGGAAGCCGGAUGCAGCAACGCCGCGUGCGGGAUGAUGGCCUGCGGGUUGUAAACCGCUUGCGCCUGUGACGAAGCGUGAGUGACGGUAAUGGGUAAAGAAGCACCGGCUAACUACGUG